GACGUAGGGCGCGAGCGUUGUCCGGAUUUAUUGGGCGUAAAGAGCUCGUAGGCGGCUUGUCACGUCGGGUGUGAAAGCCCGGGGCUUAACCCCGGGUCUGCAUUCGAUACGGGCUAGCUAGAGUGUGGUAGGGGAGAUCGGAAUUCCUGGUGUAGCGGUGAAAUGCGCAGAUAUCAGGAGGAACACCGGUGGCGAAGGCGGAUCUCUGGGCCAUUACUGACGCUGAGGAGCGAAAGCGUGGGGAGCGAACAGG
rnacentral:rRNA from 1 species